AAAUUACAUAUUCUAUUUUGAAAUAAUGAUAUUGUUGAAGAUGUUGAAGAUGUAUGUAGAUGGAAUUUUGUGUUAGAUAUGGGUGAAAUUUAAUGGGAGAUCGAUAUAAAAUUACGUAGCUGUUGAAUUUGGAAGCGAACAAAAGUGAUCCUUCUUGGGGAUUGCAGGUAUUGGAAUUAGAUAUUGGUAAAAAUGUAGGUGAAGUAUUAUAACUAAUUAUAAGCAAUCUAAAGCUUGAUCUAAAUGAAAUUUUCAUAAUUUCUUUUAUACGUACAUUAUUUCUCGUUGUGUAUUAUUAUGCUACUGCCGAAUGACCUGUUUAUAAGUACUAAUUGUCUCCAUGUGUUGUUUUAAUAGAACAUAACAUGGUGGUGGUUGUAGAAAGGCACUACAUUACGAGUUUCCGUAAUGGGUAAAAAUAUCUGUUUUUUCAACCAAAUUGCACGAACCACUCUUAAUUUAUAUAAACUUAAUUGAUUACUCAAUAAUUUGGUUUAAAAUGAACAAAGAAAGAAAAGAAUGGAAAUCGGUCCCGAUACAAAGUCGAAUGAAUUCGUUCGAACACUCAUUCGAGCUUUUUAUACGCAGCUCGAACAAAACAUGGCCCAAUUUUUCAGAUCCCCGAUAAUCGGUGCCAUAUAGCUGACCUAUCUUUUUUUAUUUGCUUCGUCACGUGACCGAUCAGAUCCUUCCAUUUAUUCUUCCAACAUUUCACUCUGCACUGGCAAAAAAAAUUUAAAUAUAUGUAGAAAUAAUGAAAAAGCCUAGAUUGACCGUAAUUAGUAUGGAAUUGACGCAUUCCACAAAGAUACAGGUUGAGAACCAUCUGUUUAGAGUGCACUUGCAAGACACACAGCGCCGUACAUAGUUGGAACGUUAGCCUCAUAUCCACCCACCACGUUAUUACCGACAACUCCCAGUUAUACGCUUAAUGUGCGAGCUGAAUUCAUCGCGCGCGAUUGUGCGAACUCGAAGAUCAUCCUUCUCGAGGAACUUUUAAAAGUUGCAAUUGGUACAUACAACCCUGCAUCUCUCAUCUCUUUCUUUUAGAUAAACUACGGCUUUCUUCAUCGAUGAAGAACUUUGAAGCUCAACCCUUUAUGAUAUAAAUUAUAUGUGACAUUUAAUGCAAUACAUGCAAUGUAUUUUAAAAUUAGAACAUUGGAACUUGUGGAUUUGGUAAUGCACUUACAUAGAACUUAAAUAUUCUUGGUAAAACUUGGAGGUUUCUUUUAGUGCAAUCCAGGAGAUUGAUUGUUAUAAGGAACGAACUCUAAAAAUAUAGAGAUUCUCAGAUCGAA